CCCAAGUCAAUCUAGUGCAGUCAUCCACAAAUAUGAGAAAAUAUUUAUGUAACACCCCUUACCCGAUAGGUACCCACCGAAUAAGUGAUGUCACGUUUCAGUAUCGAAAACCCCGUGCUUAAAUUUUUCUUUUUCUUUUUAGCUUAAAAGCACAAUUAAAAUCUAUUACAUUUAAAAAACUUAACAUUUAUCCUACGGAAGAUUAAAGAUUAAACUAUUAUACAACAUGCCACGACUACUAAACCAAGUUGACCACCAGUGACUCGCAAAAGAUGCAAAGCUGCGCAACACCACUGACAUAAUAUCAACUCUAACCUGCAGGGGAAAAAGAGGGGGGAGUGAGCUCGAAAGCCCAGUAGCAAUAUCCAAACUACAGAAUCCAACCCUCUCAGCUAAGACAAUAGUAACUAUAAUAACUACAUUAUUUCCUUUUUAAUCUUUUGCUUAUUUUCAUUUCAAUUUUACAAAUUUCCAAAUUACUUACCAUCUCAUAAUCUUUGAAUUAAAGAAUACUUGUUCAGAUAACCACA